CAACACCUUUUUAACGGACCGGUGGGACCCCUUGGCUCACUCCAAGCCCACCGAUCGACCAUGCAAUUUCUCUGAGCAUUGAUCAGUAACAGUUGAUAAAUUCACAACCAGUAGCGUUGGAUCCCUUGGCACGUCAUUCGAUGAAGACCGUUGCAAAAUGCGAUAAGUGGUGUGAUAUGCAAGUCCAAAACUUAUACGUGAACCAUCGAAUUGUUGAACGCACUGCAUCGAGCCUUACCCAGGAACGAUACGCCCCAUUGAGCGUCAUUAUGUCUUCGUGACCUGUCCUCUUCUUGGGGACCUGUCUGGGUUCGGGAUUCACGGCCUGACGGUCGCGCUUCCUCAGAUGCAUGGACGCGCUGGAACGCACGGGCGACCUUGUCAUGAAUGUCGAGGUGGCCGCUGCGCAACGGCGCGGGAUCUGUCGCCCGCCGGCAGAUCGACCGCACUUGCUGCGACUUCUCCACAUGACCUCACGGGGGUGGGACGACCCGCUAGACUUAAGCAUAUUAAUCAGCGGAGGAAAAGAAACUAACAAGGAUUCCCCCAGUAACGGCGAGUGAAGAGGGAAGAGC
rnacentral:rRNA from 1 species